rnacentral:rRNA from 1 species
CAAACGACUCUCGGCAACGGAUAUCUCGGCUCACGCAUCGAUGAAGAACGUAGCAAAAUGCGAUACUUGGUGUGAAUUGCAGAAUCCCGUGAACCAUCGAGUUUUUGAACGCAAGUUGCGCCCGAAGCCUUUCGGCCAAGGGCACGUCUGCCUGGGCGUCACAC